CUGAGAGGAUGACCAGCCACACUGGAACUGAGACACGGUCCAGACUCCUACGGGAGGCAGCAGUGGGGAAUAUUGCACAAUGGGCGCAAGCCUGAUGCAGCCAUGCCGCGUGUAUGAAGAAGGCCUUCGGGUUGUAAAGUACUUUCAGCGGGGAGGAAGGGAGUAAAGUUAAUACCUUUGCUCAUUGACGUUACCCGCAGAAGAAGCACCGGCUAACUCCGUGCCAGCAGCCGCGGUAAUACGGAGGGUGCAAGCGUUAAUCGGAAUUACUGGGCGUAAAGCGCACGCAGGCGGUUUGUUAAGUCAGAUGUGAAAUCCCCGGGCUCAACCUGGGAACUGCAUCUGAUACUGGCAAGCUUGAGUCUCGUAGAGGGGGGUAGAAUUCCAGGUGUAGCGGUGAAAUGCGUAGAGAUCUGGAGGAAUA
rnacentral:rRNA from 1 species